rnacentral:rRNA from 1 species
GGUUGCGAUCAUACCAGCACUAAUGCACCGGAUCCCAUCAGAACUCCGCAGUUAAGCGUGCUUGGACGAGAGUAGUACUAGGAUGGGUGACCCUGGGUGACCCCCUGGGAAGUCCUCGUGUUGCAACCC